rnacentral:rRNA from 1 species
GUAGGUGGCAAGCGUUGUCCGGAAUUAUUGGGCGUAAAGCGCGCGCAGGCGGUUCUUUAAGUCUGAUGUGAAAGCCCACGGCUCAACCGUGGAGGGUCAUUGGAAACUGGAGAACUUGAGUACAGAAGAGGAAAGCGGAAUUCCACGUGUAGCGGUGAAAUGCGUAGAGAUGUGGAGGAACACCAGUGGCGAAGGCGGCUUUCUGGUCUGUAACUGACGCUGAGGCGCGAAAGCGUGGGGAGCAAACAGGGAUUAGAUACCCUGGUAGUCCACGCCGUAAACGACGAGUGCUAAGUGUUAGGGGGUUUCCCGCCCCUUAGUGCUGCAGCUAACGCAUUAAGCACUCCGCCUGGGGAGUACGGCCGCAAGGCUG